GUUGGACGAUUCUGGAAAGGUCCAGAGGCUGAGGAAGGAGGGCCCUGCCGCCGAGUGCAGCGCGGGGACUUCCAUGGUGAAUCACUUCCAAGUAAUUAACGGCUGAGAUCCAACAGCUUAUAUUCGUCUAAUUUUCUCUCAUGUACUCCACAAUUAGAGUGAGUCGGACUUUCUCCUUCCCCUGUGCAUAUUUCCGAAGCGGUUUCUCUAGGGUUUCCAACUUCGAAGAAUCUCUCUCUCAAGAGAGCACGCACACAGAGGCAAAAUGGUGAUCUAAAUGGAUAAUCUGGGGAGGGGGAGUUGAGCGUGUCGUCAAUUGGGAUUUGGCUAGCAUAAAGUGGGCUUUGUCUUGGCUACCCAAUGCAGAUCCAGAGCCAGGAAAAAGCUGGUUGAUGGAGGAAGAGGAACACCGUCACCAACAAGAACAAUGCGACACGGAAGAGGAAGAACAUCCCUUUACUCCUCCGCUCUUCUUGUCCUCACGAGAAACAAAAUCACCUCCACCCCCACUGCCUCCAGUACUACUACCGCUAUUUCUGAAGUUGGGAAUCUUCUUCUGGUCGCUGCAGUUGUCAAAUCGCUGUCUGAAAAUGGCGGAACUCGAAACCUUGAUGAGAACUCGAUUCCCCUCUCUGAGUCUCUUGUCCUACAAAUCCUCAGGAGGAGUUCUCUUCAGGUAUCCAAGAAGGUGGAUUUCUUCAGAUGGUGUUCCCUCAUGCACAACUACAAACACUCGGCGAGCACCUACGCUCAACUCUUCCAUGCCAUUUGCCGCCACCAAGACAGCCUCCUCGACCACCACCACGAGAUCAUUCAUCUGCUGGGCUCCAUGAAGCGAGAUGGCGUUGUCCUCGAUUCUCGGACCUUUAAGUUGCUUCUUGACUCGUUCAUCCGAAUUGGGAAAUUCGAUAUUGCUCUUGAAAUCUUGGACCACGUGGAGGAAGAAAUGGGAAGAACUAAGAGUUCCUUGAAUUCUGAUGUGUAUAACUCUGUGCUCGUUGCGCUUGUCCGUAGAGAGCAGAUUGGCCUUGCCUUGUCUAUCUUCUUCAAGCUCUUAGAAGCUUCAAAUGGCACUGGCAAUGUAAUUCCCAAUACUUUUGUUUGCAAUGAAUUGUUUGUUGCGCUUAGAAAAGCAGACAUGAGGGAGGAAUUCAGCAGGGUUUUUGACAAACUGAGAGAGAAAAAUCGGUUUGCGCUUGACUUGUGGGGCUACAAUAUUUGCAUUCAUGCAUUCGGGUGUUGGGGUGAUCUGGGGUUGUCCCUGAGCCUCUUUAGGGAGAUGAAACAGAGAAGUCAUGGUUCUGACAGUGGUCCAUUUGCUCCGGACUUGUGCACCUAUAACAGCCUUAUUCACGUCCUUUGCUCGUCGGGAGAGAUCAAGGAUGCCCUAAUUGUUUGGGAUGAACUAAAGGGAUCUGGUCAUGAACCUGAUGCGUCCACCUACCGAAUUAUUAUACAGGGCUGUUGUAAAUCCUAUCGGAUAGAAGAUGCAAUGAAGAUACUUAGUGAGAUGCAGUACAAUGGAUUUUGUCCAGAUACUGUUGUUUAUAACUCUGUCUUAGAUGGGUUAAUGAAAGCGAGGAGACUCACAGAAGCAUGCCAACUGUUUGAGAAAAUGGUUGAGGAUGGGGUAAGGGCUUCCUGUUGGACAUAUAAUAUACUUAUUGAUGGAUUGUUCAAAAAUGGAAGAGGUGUAGCCGGGUACACAAUGUUUUGCGAUUUGAAGAAGAAAGGACAGUUUGUUGACGGGGUUACUUACAGCAUUGUCAUAUUGUGGCUAUGUAGGGAGGGCCAGAUUGAGGAAGCUUUGCAACUUGUUGAAGAGAUGGAAGCCAGAGGCUUUGUUGUUGAUCUAGUUACCGUGACAUCGCUAUUGAUUGGGUUUCAUAGGCAAGGUCGAUGGGAUUGGACGGAGAGGAUCAUGAAGCAUAUCAGGGAUGGUAAUUUGGUGCCAACUGUGCUCAAGUGGAAAGCGGAUAUGGAGGCUUCUAUGAAAAGCCCACAGAGCAGGAAAAAGGAUUUCUCUCCAAUUUUCCCAUGUAAAGGUGACUUCAGUGAAAUCACUUAUUUCUUAAGUUCACCUGACUUGGGGAUAGGUGAGGCUGGUGGGCAACUGGAGGACAGAUCUGCUUCGCAUGACACCGACCAGUGGUCCUCAUCUCCUUACAUGGAUCUAUUGGCCAAUCAAGUGACCUCCAAUGACCGUAUUCUUAAAACUUUCUCUCCCUCCAGGGGAAAACGAGUUCAGGUAAAAGGGGUGGAAUCUUUUGAUAUUGAUAUGGUCAAUACGUACUUGUCAAUGUUUUUGGCCAAAGGAAAGCUGAGCUUAGCCUGCAAGUUGUAUGAGAUGUUCACUGAUAUGGGUGUCAACCCUGUGGGUUACACUUAUAAUGCAAUGAUGAGUUCAUUUGUUAAGAAGGGAUAUUUCAAUGAGGCUUGGGGUGUUCUUCAUGAGAUGGGUGAACAUGUAUGUCCAGCAGACAUAGGGACAUACAAUGUGAUCAUUCAAGGCCUUGGGAAGAUGGGAAAUGCAGAUCUAGUUAAUGCAGUUCGGGAUAAACUAGCGAAGCAGGGUGGCUAUCUCGACAUUGUGAUGUACAAUACCUUGAUCAAUGCACUAGGAAAGGCAGGGCGGGUUGAUGAAGCAAACAAUGUUUUUGAGCAGAUGAGGACAAGUGGGAUAAAUCCUGAUGUUGUCACUUACAAUACACUCAUUCAAGUUCAUAGUAAGGCAGGUCGAUUACAGGAUGCUUACAAGUUCUUGAAGAUGAUGUUGGAUGCUGGCUGUCCUCCAAACCAUGUCACUGACACAAUUCUUGACCUUAUGGAGAAGGAGGUUGAGAAACUGAGAUACAAAAAGGCUUCAAUAAGACGGAGUCAUAAGGAUGAUUCUUCUUAAAGAACUCUAAGAGAAAGCGGUAGACCGUAGAUGGGUUCCAGCUCAUGCAAACAUGCAGUGGAAGGAAAUUCCUUAGUGUAAGAUUUCAUCGAACAACUAGCUAUUGGGAGAUCACUGUAAAACAUUGAAAUUCGACUUCUCAAAGCUUUAUCCUUAGCAAAGUCUGCAGCCUUCUCGUUAGUCCACAUCAGAGGAUUGCGUAGUCUUGUUAAGAAUGGGAAGUGGAAUUCUGGAGGGGAUAAGGGUGAGGGUGGGAUGGGUGGUGCUUGCGUUUCAGAUAAGGGAAGUGCUAGUUUUAUUUUUCGAAAGGAUGGUUUGGGUGAUGAUGGGAGGGCUCCUUGGGUGUUCGUUACGGAUGGAGCUUGGUGUGAGAAUACGAGAAAGGGAGUGGCAGCUUGGGUUAGGGUGGAUAGAAGGCAAAAGGAGAGAGUGAGUCAAGUGGUGGAGGCUAAGGCUUCUUCUGCUACUUUGGUGGAGGUGAAGGCGGGGAUUUUGGUUCUUCUCAGGGCUGUCUCCAACAAUGUGAAGGAGCUUUGCAUUCAAACAGAUAGCGCGGUUUUUGUUCAAGGGGCUAAGAAGCCUUCAUCUGUGUGCCCUACUCUGCAAACAGCCCUUGAAGACUUUUGUUUGUUAUGUAAUGUAUCGUUUAAUUAUGUAAAACUUGUUAAAGUUUCUAGAAAUGAUGUAAGGGCAGCUCAUGAUAUAGCUAGAGCUGUCUUAAGGGACUUGUAGCCUGUAUUCUUUCCUGCUUGCUAUAUAUAUUGGGUUUAUGCUGUU